rnacentral:rRNA from 1 species
UACGGAGGGUGCAAGCGUUAUUCGGAAUUACUGGGCGUAAAGCGCACGCAGGCGGUUUGUCAAGUCGGAUGUGAAAUCCCCGGGCUCAACCUGGGAACUGCAUCCGAAACUGGCAGGCUAGAGUCUUGUAGAGGGGGGUAGAAUUCCAGGUGUAGCGGUGAAAUGCGUAGAGAUCUGGAGGAAUACCGGUGGCGAAGGCGGCCCCCUGGACAAAGACUGACGCUCAGGUGCGAAAGCGUGGGGAGCAAACAGGAUUAGAUACCCUGGUAGUCCACGCCGUAAACGAUGUCGACUGGGGGGGUGUGCCCUUGAGGCGUGGGUUCCGGAGCUAACGCGUUAAGUCGACCGCCUGGGGAGUACGGCCGCAAGGUUAAA